rnacentral:rRNA from 1 species
AUUGAACGCUGGCGGCAUGCCUAACACAUGCAAGUCGAACGAAUGGCGGACGGGUGAGUAGUGUCUGAGAAACUGCCUGAUGGAGGGGGCUAACUACUGGAAACGGUAGCUAAUACCGCAUACCAUCAGAUGUGCCCAGAUGGGUUGAGCUAGUUGGGGGGGUAACGGCUCACCAGGGCGACGAUCCCUAGCUGGUCUGAGAGGAUGACCGGCAACAUGGGAACUGGGACACGCCCAAGACUCCUACGGGAGGCAGCAGAGGGGAAUAUUGGACAAUGGGCGAAAGCUGGAUCCAGCCAGGCGGCGUGUGUGAAGAAGGUCUUCGGACUGUAAGGCACGUUAAGUUGGGAGGCGGUACCAACAGAAUAAGCACCGGCUAACUUCGUGCCAGCAGCCGCGGUAAUAC